UCUGCAUUUUUUUUUGCCUCAUAUAUAUUUUUUCUUCCUAACUAGGUUGUGAGUUCCUAGAGGUGGCAGAGACUGAGUUUGAUCAAUUUCUUCAUACUCCUCUUUGGUACCUAGUACAGAACCAUCAGAAAGACUGUAAAGCACUGGAAACUGGGCACAGGGUGGCAGCAGACUGCUGGGAUUUUUGAGACUUCCUAAAGAAGAAUCAUUCAGGUCAACCAAAUCCAGUGAGCUCCAAAACACUCUUCGGCAAUUAGGAUGAGCUGCUUACUCAUAGGUUUAAUAAAAAUGGUUAGCUUUUAAAACAUAAAAAGGCAAAAUGUUAAAACGGUUUUUAAAUUGUACAACAGGAAAAUAAAGUUAAAAAUACUUUUUUUUUUU